rnacentral:lncRNA from 1 species
AUAAUACAGUGCUGACCUGUACUAAAUGGUUCUUCUAAAAAUCUUGCUCAGGCUUCACAGGAAACAGAACUUGGGCUUCUCAGGGAAAAAAAGUCAGACAGCAUUAGGCAUGUUCCUUGCUGAUUUUGGCGAGACACCUGCAGAUGGUCCAUUCUUGGUAUUUCCUUUGUUUUCAGCAGGACCCUUGGAAUGAUGACACUGUCACACUCAUGCUCUGAAUCACUCAGAAUCUCAGGUUUUCCUUCCUGCAAUAGGCCCUGACGUUAGGUAAGAGUCAGGGCAAUGCCAUUUCUAUUUCUGCCAUGGAUUUAAAGGCUCUUGGAGUGACAGGUUAACCCUCUGUGUUUCACUGUAUUUUUGUAAAAUAAGCAUAAAAAAGCUUGCACCAACUACAGAGGAAGAGUGUAAUGAGACUAAUUAUCAGUGUUUCUGAAGAACCAUUAUAUCCUCAGGCCAAAUGUGUUAUUGGCAAUGUUUCUGACUCUUUUAAGUGCCAACCUGAGCAAUAGGCACCAAAUUCUUUCUUCCCUUAAGGCCACUGAAGACAGCAGACCAGGUUCUGUUCUCAGAUCUGAUCCCAUCACAUUUUAACACAAAUCUCUUCAGGAUUACUAUUAAAAUUGAGACCUCUUUUAUAUCUGCAAAAUCUUUAAGAAAAAACAAAAAAAAGCCUAUCAGUGACAAAAGUUGAGCUCCAUCUGCCUAGCACACUGCUCGGCCUGGUUUCAAGUAUCAUACCUGCACCUGUGACACAUGUUUUGUGUUUAAAGCGACACAAUUAGAGAUAAUGGAGAAAAAUAUACUUUAUGUGUGUACAUUUAUAUAUCAAUAUAAAAUUUAUAUUCUGCAGGAUGAAAGCUACCUGAAGCUGGAAUCAAAAUUCCAUAAAUAUGUGGAAUGGAAUAAGCACUGUGACAAAGAGACACAGCAAAAUCACCACAGAAAAGAGAGUGAGCUUGGUCCCUGCCCCAAGGACAGCCUGAGGAUGCCCAAGCUGGUCCAGAUUCUCCAGGACUCCAUCUCUGCUAAUCACAGUGGAAAGACAAAGGUGCAGCUCAUUUGUACAAACUUCCAUAAAGACAGUAGUAGAAUCUUCCCUCUGGCAAUUCCUCCAGUUCUUUACUUCAAAAGAGAAAAAUCUCCAAGAAUGCACAAGUCAGAUCUGAGGUAUUUCAAGAAAGAGUGAAGAUCAUGUCUUGACCGAUGAGAUGCAGUUAAAUGGAUAGGUGCUGAU